rnacentral:lncRNA from 1 species
UUUAGUCACACGCACAGUGUGUCACAUACACACACAAAGUUGCACAGUAUCGAACACAGCCACACACACAGUCACACGUGGCCACACCUAAAGACACUUUGGGAGAUAGGCACACACUCCCAAAUGAAUUGCAGAGAUACUCCCAGAAUCACACCCAGAAGUGGACCUGUCAAGCCCACUCACAUAAAAAGAGGUGGAAACUCAGAGACACACAUCACACAUCAACACAGAGACUGAUACACUAAGAUCUGUAGACAAACACAAACAUGCGGAAAUAUAUAGGGAAAAACACAUACCCACAUGGUACCUCAAGGACACACACACAAACACCCAGGCCUGGGUCACACAGUGACACACCCAGAUCCAAGCACAAACCCACCACCAGAGUCUCUGGGACACACUCAAAGCCUCUCAUUUUGUACCUUCACUCAUACAUGUUUAAGCGCAUUCUAGUGAGUUCUCAAGAGGGCCAUUGGUUGGAUUGAUGUACAGCAGAGAUGAGAUGGUGUCACUGGGCCACAGAGCCCACCCAGCACAUGGCAGUGGGAAGGGGUGUGGGUGGAGCUACCUUGAAUCCAUAAAGCUGGGGCAGAGGCUUAAACUGUCAGAAUCUCAGUUUUAAUCAUCUGUAAAAUGGGGUGUGACUCUUCCCCCUGGGGAUUGUCUGAGACUCAAUAGGCAAAUAGUGAAUGUUGGCUGACAGUAUCAUGUGGACUCCCUUAGGCACACCCACGCUCUCCACUGUGCCUACAUGUGCCCACACAUGCUGUGCUUGGCUCCCAGUCUCUUGGGGAGAGGGAUGCCCCUUGUAAAUCUAAUCUGAGUCCCCCUUGCUGUACUCUAACCCUAAUUCUGGGAAAAGGGAGGGCUAGCCCCUUCAAGGAGACUCUUUGUCUGAAAUGCUGGCUGCUGAGCACCUGGAGUCCUAAGACCAGGGUGGGGUUUUGUUGUGGGGUCAGGCUCUGGGCCUGGUUUGAAGUGCUUUGCUCUGAUGCCUGAAUUCAAACCUCAACUCCACCUUGUGCUGUGCACACCCAGCAUCCUUGGGAAAGGACUUAGGCCCUCAGGGUUAGAGUUGCCUUCUCUUAGAGAGGUUAACAGCAUCAGCACCCAACACCAGAGGCUACUGUGAGGGUGAAACAGCUCCCUGGCUGAGGUUUUGAGCCAUUACUAGAGCCGUUAGUCCACAUUGGGGUCAGAGGUAAGGAGUCAGUGUGCAUACUUAGCCCUAUCCCUGCAACUCCUUAGGUGGACAAGGGUUUUUAUGAGACAAACUUCAAGGCCUAGUUAAUAGGGUUGAUCUCAGACCCAGCCACAUCACACUAGCCAUGAGGACAGCUGGGAGGGGAGGUCACAGUCAGCUCAGUUACUCCAAAGGAUAGGACAGGAAAUGAGGUUUAGGGUAGUUUUCCCCUUUCCCAUGUCCCAGAGCUAAACACAGGCUUUCCCAUUUCCUACUAAUCAAAACCCAUUUUCCAUUCCCAGCUUACUGAGGAAGUCCGUUCUCAUGUCUAAAUCCA